GGAUUUGGUUGUUGCGAUACAAGAUGCUGAUUGGUGUUGUUGUUUUCUCUUUGUGCUUUCCAAUGGAAGCUGCUCUCUCAAUGAUUUCGAGGAUGAUUGGCUUGUAAUUUGCCCCAUUAGUGGAGUUACCGCUGAAAUGGCAGUGUCACAUCCCCAAAAAGCUUCCCUGUUCCUAGGUGCAGCUCCACACCAGGUGUGAUUGACAUUUCAUCCAGCGUAAGCACACACUCUCUUUCCAUCUCUUUUAGACUGCUAACCUUUAGUUUGAGCAUGU